UGGAAACCAAAUGUGUUUUUUCACACUCUCUCAAACUUCCCUGACAUCACUUGAGUGGAAACCAAAUGUGUUCUUUGCUUAUCUACUGACAAUGGUUUUUCCCAAAAACGAAACACAGAAGGAAGUUUCCUCGUCAAUUCCGGAGCCAAGACAUACACAGUGCACUUGCCUUCGCUGUGGAACAUUCCACAGUGGCAGUAAAUCAAUACUAGCUCCCACUAUCAACAUGUAAAUGGUUGUUUGUCGGGGCUCUCAAAACACAUUGAAAUACCAAACCACUUUAUCAAGAACUAUUCAUCUUUCAACAGCAAUACCAACGUUUAUACAUGCGCAUUUAUUUAAACAAAGGGAUUAAUAUCAAUGUAACACCAAGUAGACAAAGCCUAUGAGUGUGUAAUCAAGUGCCAGCAAGCAGUGGAUCCAACGCCUUCUUUUGGCCAAUUGUGUGGAGUGAUAAGGGGUAUCAUGGCAUAGCAGUCUUGGGGGAUGGGGGGGAAGGGGGGAAUAAGUGAGUGACACCCAUGACCAGUCGAAGCGUCUGUUGGGUGGGUCUAAACCAGAAUAAUAACCUUUGUCUUCAUUGGGAUUCCAAUACAUUUGACUAGACAUAUCCAAUGCAGAGAUGGCUGGUGCUCUUGGUCACUCUCCUAGCAGUGGUCACUGCGACAAUAUGAUUUUACCGACAAAGGACCAUGAAGAGGCAAUGUCAAAGAGCAGGACAGCCCGAAGUCCCCAAAAUCCUCCCCCAGAGCAUCCUGAAGUGCGCCAGAGAAAGACAGAUGUCACUGAGGAAGAGGAGGAGGGUGAUGAUGAAACUGACGUUAACACCGUCAGUUAGAAACGUUACACGGCUUAAACCGGACAGCAUGCUUUCAAAUGUUUACUCCUUGAUGAAAUUUGUCUGUGUUAUAUGUAGGCAGGUAUAUGCUGCAAAUAUGAUAUUUUUGUACAACAUUCACAUUUGAUUAAAAUAUGUAUUGUUCAACCAAAACAACAAGAUGUUUGAUUAAGUAAUAUUGAUUCCUGUCAUAAAAAAUAGAUUUAGAAGCAGGGAAAUUAUUGUCACAGUAUUGUUACAGUAAUUAACCCUUCGCAAAAUAACUUCCCUUGGUUACUGUUGUUAAGUCGGACAAGCUUAGACUUUUAUCUUCCUGCGAACAUGGAGAAACACACAGUAAUAAUACUAAGGGAACUCCCAAAAUAGGUACUCGGUAUUUUUGAGACAACCAUCAAUUAUACUCAUAUAGGAGCAGACAAAAAGGCCUUCAAUGGAACUCUGGAGAGCCCAAGGUGAAAUGUCCACUACAAGCUUGCCACAACAAGGGUUGGUGCCCAAACUAAUCAGUUGGACGGGCCUUUGAUAUAUUCUUCUUCUUUGAUGGGGUUUAACGGCGGUUGGAAUCCAAUGUUAUUGUGAAUUACCGCCACCAGCUGGACAGGAAAGGGGAAAACAACAUCUUACAAAAUUAAACAAAUCAACUCACAAAACCCAUCCACUUCUUCAAUCCCAGUCCACUCCAAAAUACAUCUCUACACAAGCUCAGGGGCCUGUGAUGGCGAAACAUCCACCGAUAGGAUUUCUUGCACAGACUUGGCUGUGAAAUCACAAAGACUCCAAUUUUUUUUAGCUGCAUUCACAAUGAUUCCAAUUUUUUUGGGACUUAUUCUCUGCUUGUGCUGUACAGUUUAUGAUCAUUGCAAUAAAUAAUACAAAGUCCACCUUUUUAAACAUUUCAUAGCAUUUCAUUAUCCCUCGGUUGAUGUUUCUUCCCCACCACCCGUUCCUUCGAACGUUCACAUCGCCUCCAGAUAGGUGACACAUUGGACACUCCUUACCCUUCCCACCUCAUUCUCCUUCACCCUAACUUUUUCAUCGUUGAACUUAUAUGAUUGGCAUCUAAACUUUCAUAGUAUUACCACGACGACCGGCAAAACAGUUAGUCUUUCAAUCACCCACGUGGGUAUAACCAAUGAGGAGAUGGCACGUGGGUACCUGCUUCUGCAAACCAAUGAGGAGAUGGGAGAGGCAGGCCUUGUAGCGCGAUCUGCAUCAGAAAUAGGAAUGACUUCUAUUUUAGCCCUUGGCAAAGAACCGUAGUAUGGAUGAAGCAAAUGUAUUUUCUCCAUCCACCAUACAGGUCAGUUGACGUGCACCAACCACUCCAUCGAUGUCUUCAGUAAUAUCCUCUGCCUUUUUUUCUUGCGCCACCCCAGCAAUAACCCCUUUGAUAGGUACCCUGCUACGAAAAUCCAUACAGGAAACAUUCCACUCCAAUAUCUUUUUGAGUUUUAAAACAUGCUUAUUCUGCUCAGUAGACAUACAAAAAAAUCGAAAUAUGAACACUUCUUGUGACUCUCACCGACUCCACACUUUCCUCCAACUCAUUCCAGAUUUUCCUCAAAGAUGCUAAAUGGAUUUCCCAAGUAGCAUUGAUCCAAAACUCACUCUAAAAACGAGUCUAGUGGUUUCCUAUUUUCCACCACAGCUUUACCUCUCUUGUUUGGCCUUUGAUAUCCAUAGGUUGGCACGUUUUUUUUCAUUGAACUUCCUAUGUGAGUAAAUGCAGCAGUAGGCCUAGAACUUCCAUCGUCGACUAAGUAAAUACAUAAGCCUAAAGCCAACAAAUAAAAACAGUAGAAAAUGAUGAAAAUUCAGGUUCUUUCAAUCAUAUUCAUCUCUCUACUCCGCCUGUCUGCCUCCGUUUCUGUCUGUCUUGACUUGAGCUAUUGCUAGUGAAGUGACUUGUCUAGUUAAAUAAAGGUUAAAAAUAAAAUAAAAAACUGUAUCUGGCCGAAAGCAGUUGCUAGCGAACUUGCAACAUUGUAUCAACUAGCCUAUUCACAGGACAGACAGCUGUUUCCAACUGGAUAUAUGGGAUCAUCAGAUCCUGAUAUUUUUCUCUUCCACACCGAGGCUUGGUGACUAACGAGGCCGGGAGUGUUGGAAAGAUUUUUCAAAUACUGAGGAACUAUCAUUUGCAAUGGAUGUAAACAAACAGACUUAAUUUAGAAUGUGUGAGGUGAAAAAAAAAAUGACUGAGCUGCUCAGUUUAUUAGUGGUGGACCUGUUGAAUUAAGACAAUCAUAAAUCAUAAAUUGCCAAAUGGGCACUUUACUACAUUUGUAUGCAGCAGGCCAGGUAGGACUACCUCAAUGCAUGCUCAGGCGACACGCGCUCACUCAACGUUAUCAGGACAUAGAAACACAACAGUGGCAUAAGCCAAGAGGCAAGAAGAUUGAUGACAAGCCUAUUCCAGCGGUCUUGGAGACAAGGGCAAAAGUGAGCCGGAAGAGAAGUCUACUGCAGUUAUAACUUUGAUUGGUGAGCUAGACGUGAAUGCAUUGUUUACAUCUAAUGCAUGUAAUAACCAAUUCAACCACAAGAGGAUAUUUUAACGCAGAUGCAAUUCCAUUAAAUAUUCAACUGUUACGUAUCAAAGAAACCCAUGUUUUAGAUAUGGGCACGUACUUACUGUAUAGGCACACAUCUAUGGUUAGCAGCAGAAACAGUAUGGUAUCCACAAACAAAUGUCAUCAAAUGUUUCCACCUGGUUGUAUGUUUAUGUUCUCAGGACAGUGUCAGAAGUAACAGAUGAAGAUGGGUGGGCGUAUAACGUGAACGUCUAGCAACCCGAAGGUUGCACAUUUGAUUAUCAUCGCGGACAACUUGAGCAUUUUAGCUAAUUAGCAACUUUUCAACUACUUACUACUUUUUAGUUACUUUGCAAUUACUAAAUAUGCUAGCUAACUCUUCCCCUAACCCUAACCUUAACCCUUUUAGCUAACCCUAACAUUAACCAUUUUAGCUGACCCUAACUCUAACCUUUACCCUUUAAGCUAACUUGUAAACAUAAUCCUAACCCCUAGCCUAGCUAACGUUAGCCACCUAGCUAACGUUAGCCACCUAGCUAGAUUUCUUAACAUAUCAUAUUAUGACACAGGGCGAGACCCAGAUGCAGACACCGGAGGCAAAUGGUUCGAGUCUCUGAUAUUUAUUGAAAAACAAGGGUCAGGCAAGAGGCAGGUCGAGGACAAGCAUAAGUUCAUAAACCAGGUCAUAGUCCAGAAGUUACAGGGUGGCAGGCAGUCUGGAGGUCAGGCUGAAUGGUCAGGCAGGCGGGUACAGUGUCAGGGCAGGCAAAGGGUCAGAACCGGGAGGACUAGAAAAACAUAGACGAGGAAAAACAGGAGCACGGAAAAACACGCUACUUGACAAGAUGAACUGGCAACAGACAGACAAAAGACACCGGUAGAAAUACACAGGGAAUAACGGGAACAAAUGGGAGACACCUGGUGGGGGGUGAAGACAAGCACAAGACAGGUGAAACAGGGUGUGACACAUAUGUUUCACAAAUUCAUAACAUAUAAUACAAAUUGUAAUUUGUAACAUAUCAUAGAAAAUGGUUGAUGGACGUCCACAAAUUAUUACAUACCAUACGAAAUGUAACAUAUUAUACUAAAUGGAGUGUCUCGGAUUUACGCAGAUAAUAUGAAAUUCUCUGAGACCAGGUUGAGAAUACCCAUUCAGAUUUCUGUCUGUGUGCAUGGGUGUGUGAGGACUGGCCUACAAUAAGAAUGUGUGGCUGGAAGUUGGACAGCAGACUCCAGUCACCCAAGUCAUAGACUGUUUUCUCUGCUACUGCAUGCCAAG